GAUGAACGCUGGCGGCGUGCCUAAUACAUGCAAGUCGAGCGAACGGACGAGAAGCUUGCUUCUCUGAUGUUAGCGGCGGACGGGUGAGUAACACGUGGAUAACCUACCUAUAAGACUGGGAUAACUUCGGGAAACCGGAGCUAAUACCGGAUAAUAUUUUGAACCGCAUGGUUCAAAAGUGAAAGACGGUCUUGCUGUCACUUAUAGAUGGAUCCGCGCUGCAUUAGCUAGUUGGUAAGGUAACGGCUUACCAAGGCAACGAUGCAUAGCCGACCUGAGAGGGUGAUCGGACACACUGGAACUGAGACACGGUCCAGACUCCUAAGGGAGGCAGCAGUAGGGAAUCUUCCGCAAUGGGCGAAAGCCUGACGGAGCAACGCCGCGUGAGUGAUGAAGGUAUUCGGAUCGUAAAACUCUGUUAUUAGGGAAGAACAUAUGUGUAAGUAACUGUGCACAUCUUGACGGUACCUAAUCAGAAAGCCACGGCUAACUACGUG
rnacentral:rRNA from 1 species